rnacentral:rRNA from 1 species
ACACAUGCAAGUCGAGCGGAAACGGCAGUAUUGAAGCUUCGGUGGAUUUACUGGACGUCGAGCGGCGGACGGGUGAGUAACGGCUGGGAACCUGCCCUGACGAGGGGGAUAACCGUUGGAAACGACGGCUAAUACCGCAUAAUGUCUACGGACCAAAGGUGGCCUCUACAUGUAAGCUAUCGCGUUGGGAUGGGCCCAGUUAGGAUUAGCUAGUUGGUAAGGUAACGGCUUACCAAGGCGACGAUCCUUAGCUGGUUUGAGAGGAUGAUCAGCCACACUGGGACUGAGACACGGCCCAGACUCCUACGGGAGGCAGCAGUGGGGAAUAUUGCACAAUGGGGGAGACCCUGAUGCAGCCAUGCCGCGUGUGUGAAGAAGGCCUUCGGUUGUAAAGCACUUUCAGCAGUGAGGAAGGUAGUGUACUUAAUACGUGCAUUGCUUGACGUUAGCUGCAGAAGAAGCACCGGCUAACUCCGUGCCAGCAGCCGCGGUAAUACGGAGGGUGCGAGCGUUAAUCGGAAUUACUGGGCGUAAAGCGCAUGCAGGCGGUUUGUUAAGUCAGAUGUGAAAGCCCGGGGCUCAACCUCGGAACCGCAUUUGAAACUGGCAGGCUAGAGUCUUGUAGAGGGGGGUAGAAUUUCAGGUGUAGCGGUGAAAUGCGUAGAGAUCUGAAGGAAUACCAGUGGCGAAGGCGGCCCCCUGGACAAAGACUGACGCUCAGAUGCGAAAGCGUGGGUAGCAAACAGGAUUAGAUACCCUGGUAGUCCACGCCGUAAACGAUGUCUACUUGGAGGCUGAGCUUUUAGACUUUGGCUUUCGGAGCUAACGCAUUAAGUAGACCGCCUGGGGAGUACGGCCGCAAGGUUAAAACUCAAAUGAAUUGACGGGGGCCCGCACAAGCGGUGGAGCAUGUGGUUUAAUUCGAUGCAACGCGAAGAACCUUACCUACUCUUGACAUCCAGAGAACUUUCCAGAGAUGGAUUGGUGCCUUCGGGAACUCUGAGACAGGUGCUGCAUGGCUGUCGUCAGCUCGUGUUGUGAAAUGUUGGGUUAAGUCCCGCAACGAGCGCAACCCUUAUCCUUGUUUGCCAGCACGUAAAGGUGGGAACUCCAGGGAGACUGCCGGUGAUAAACCGGAGGAAGGUGGGGACGACGUCAAGUCAUCAUGGCCCUUACGAGUAGGGCUACACACGUGCUACAAUGGCAGAUACAGAGGGCAGCGAGACAGCGAUGUUAAGCGAAUCCCUUAAAGUUUGUCUGUAGUCCGGAUUGGAGUCUGCAACUCGACUCCAUGAAGUGCGGAAUCGCUAGUAAUCGCAGAUCAGAAUGCUGCGGUGAAUACGUUCCCGGGCCUUGUACACACCGCCCGUCACACCAUGGGAGUGGGCUGCACCAGAAGUAGAUAGCUUAACCUUCGGGAGGGCGUUUACCACGGUGU